UUUGAAAUGUAUACGGUUUAUUGCGAUCUGAACAGAAGCUCUGCGCUUCUACAAAAGUCAGGUAUUCGUCCCUAUCCUGUCUCUCGUAGCAAAGUCACUUUGGCAACAGUUCACCACUGUGUUUGAUUAUAAUGUGAAAGACUGAAUUCUGAGUGUGUUAAGAUGGUGUUAAUCAUGUCAGUGUCCCGUCACUAAGUUUAAUGCUGCUGUUUAAAACGACUGUUUGUUUUUAAAGCCGAUCUAUGUACUAAAUUGCUUCCAGGUAAUUUUUGAUUUCCUAAAGUGCACUGAGGUUAUCUGGAAGAUGGGGUGUGGGUUUGGACCCCUGCCGUCGGCGGCACGGAGCAGCCCCCGGCGUUGAGCCGCGGGUGUGAGGGCUGGGGGUUGGGUGUGCUACGCCCCAUCCUCAGUACAGAGCAGAGAUGGCGGGUGUUUCUGUGGGGUCACGUUGGUGUGCGGCAGAGGAACUUAAAUAUCUGGCCUUGGUUCAGAAACCUAACAGAUUGCCAGACAAAAGGAAACACUUGAAGUAAGAAGCUUCCUGUAAAGCUUCAUAGGUAGAAUUUAUAUUUAUAGCACCAAUGUACAUUUUGAAACCUUCUUUCAGGGGUGGGAGUAAAAGGGGAAGAAAGGUGGGGUGGGAGAAGGGGUAGGCGAAAGCUUUAAUUUAAAA
rnacentral:lncRNA from 1 species